rnacentral:lncRNA from 1 species
GCGAGUGCUCAGUGAACUUGAGUGAUUAUCAAGGAUGCCCUCGAGUCUGUGCCUGGGGCUGGGGGUCAGGCUGGAGGACCCCUCAGGCCCGCUCUUAGUUUCCUUGACUCUGUGUGAUUGUACAUAACAGUUUCCCCAACCAUGUCUGAAGCUGGUUAUAACUGCACUUAAGUGGUAAGAAAUUUUGUCCAUUUUCUUUUUUUCCCUUUUCACUUAAAGGGAGAAAAAAUUAUUUCUAUUUAUACUGCCCCUCUCCUUAGGAUAUUAAUUUGCAUUUUUGUAGAAAGACCUGAAUAAGAAGAGAGGAGACCUGGUGUUCCUUCUAGCAAUGCUGUCAAGGAGCCCUGCGAGAUUAGAGAGAGCUGGCCCGGAAGCCAGGGCAUCCCAGAUCUAGCGACUUGGAAAUACAAUUCCUUAUAAAGAUUAGUAUGAAAACUGCUAGUUCUCUGCUCCUCUGUUCCGACCAGAUGCAAUCUCAGCCCUUGAGACUGGGAGCAGUUACUCUGGGAAGGACAAUGGGAAUCUGUGGAAUCCUGAUCCCUGGACACAUUUGAUUGGUCCAGAUUGCCGUUGAACCAACCAUAGUUCCUUCCAGAGGAAUUUGGAUUUGUGACAACCAGACAGCAUUGGGCCAAUUAUCAUUUUGAGCACCUGGCCUGUAAGGUAUAAAAUUUGUGAAGAUUUGGUAUUCACAUUCUGCCAUGGAAACUGGGAAGCAGAGGAAGCCUCUCUGUGGCCAGAGAGAAGAGAGAAGCAGACAUGCAGUGAUGGAAGAAAUAUACACAGGUGAUGGCAUUGGGGUCUUAUCUGUGUUCCUACCAUAGCUUUCAUAAGACAAUUAGUAUGCUUAUGCUACAUUCUCUCUUGGCUUAAGUUCCCGUAUUUGCAACCAAUUUGAAACCAGUGAAACCAAAAGAAGCUCAGUUAACAUUUACAGUAUUCCCAGAAUGUGGUCAUUCAGUACCUGCUUGAAUGUCUCCAGUGAUAGGGAAAGCAUCACCUCCCACGGA